AAGAAGGAGGCAAGUACGUGAUAUGCUUUGUUUCAACUUUGCUUCAGCUUUAUAUGGUCACAAUGAUUUUACCAUGAAUGGGGAAUGGUUAAACAGUCAAAGGAGGAAUAAACAGUGUUGGAGAGUUAUAAACAAGUCAGACUGGCAGGUAGUAGCAAAGAAAGUGCACAUGUGUUUCUUUAAAAUAUGGAGGAGUCGGUGUGGACCGAGAAUGAAUGAGAUUAAUGGGGAAUGGUACACUAUUAUCCUGGCUUCUGACAAAAGAGAAAAGAUAGAAGAACAUGGCAGCAUGAGACUUUUUGUGGAGCACAUUCAUGUCUUGGAGAAUUCCUUAGGUUUUAAACUCCAUACUGUACCUAGAACCGGAUUUGAGGUCAGACAUCAAGGAAGAAUUUGCAAAACUAUUUGAGGAGCAUGGAAUCGUUAGAGAAAAUAGCAUUGACCUAUCUAAUGCCAAUCACUGUCUCCAGGCCCUAGAAUGAAGAUUGGCCUGAGCCUCCAGUGUUGAGUGGAGACUUCUCACCAGGACUCCAGCAUCAUCCCUUCCUAUCCAUACAGCAUCCUGUGACAAGUUCUGUGAUCUGUUUUCCAUCAUGUCUCACAGAGAAUUGCAAUCCCUGUCUCUCCAGCAUGUUACUAGGAUAACUCAUCAAGAAUCAAAGACUUUCAUUAAAUUUCAUUUGAUACACCCAUGACAAUUAUCCUUGAAUUUCUUCUUCUUCCUGAUCAAUAAAUGAUUACACUUACAUUU
rnacentral:lncRNA from 1 species